UCUUAGUUUGCUUGCACUGCUACUACAAAAUACCAUAAACUGAAUAGCUUACAAACAGCAGAUAUUUAUUUCUCACAGUUCAAGAAGCUGGGAAGUCCCAGAUCAAGGCACCAGCCAAUUUGGAAUCUGGUUAGGGUCUGUUUCCUGAUUCAUGGACAGCUGUCUUCUGACUGCAUCCUCACAUGGUGGAAGAGGAAGUCAAGGACCCCGAAUGGAGGGACUGGCUGGAGCCGCCGCAGAGGAACAUAAAUUGUGAAGAUUUCAUGGACAUUUAUCCGUUCCCAAAUAAUACUUUUAUAAUUUCUUACGACUGUCUUUACUUUAGUUUCUUAAUCCUGUUAUCUUCGUAAGCUGAGGAUGUACAUCAGCUCAGGACCACUAUGAUAAUUGUGUUAACUGUACAAAUUGAUUGUAAAACAUGUGUGUUUGAACAAUAUGAAAUCAGUGCACCUUGAAAAACAACAGAAUAACAGCGACUUUUAGGGAACAAGGGAAGACAACCGUAAGGUCUGACUGCCUGUGGGGUUGGGCAAAAAGAGUCAUAUCUUUCUUCUUGCAGAAAGCCUAUAAACGGACGUGCAAGUAGGAGAGAUAUCACUAAAUUCUUUUCCUAGCAAGGAAUAUUACUAUUAAUACCCUGGGAAAGGAAUGCAUUCCUGGGGAGAGGUCUAUAAAUGGCCAUUCUGGGAGUGUCUGUCUUAUUUGGUUGAGAUAAGGACUGAGAUAUGCCCUGGUCUCCUGCAGUACCCUCAGGCUUAUUAGGGUGGGGAAAAGCUCCACCCUGGUAAAUUUGUGGUCAGACCGGGUCCUGCUCUUGAACCCUGUUUUCUGUUGUUUAAGAUGUUUAUUAAGACAAUACAUGCAUGGCUGAACAUAGACCCUUAUCAGUAGUUCUGCUUUGCCUUUGUCCUAUUCCCUCAGAAGCAUGUGACCUUUGUUCUGUUUUUUGCCCUUUGAAGCAUGUGAUCUUUGUACCUACUCCCUGUUUUACACCCCUUCCCCUUUUGAAACCCUUAAUAAAAAACUUGCCAGUUUGAGCCUCAGGUGGGCAUCACAGACCUACCGAUAUGUGAUGUCACCCCUGGCAGCCCAGCUAUAAAAUUCCUCUCUUUGUACUCUUUCUCUUUAUUUCUCAGCCGGCUGACACUUAUGGAAAAACAGAAAGAACCUACAUUGAAAUGUUGGGGGCAGAUUCCCCCGAUAUAGGAGCACAACAUUAUAUAAAUAGGAAAAUAGGUCCAGUUAACAUAGCAGCUGAAGACAGGCUGGGCUACGACAUACAGAAAAGGGAGUAAAUGCCUAAAACAUGUGAUCAGACAGCACAAUUACUUCUGUUAUUCAUCCAGCAUCUACUCUUGCAUAGCUACUGAAUGUUCCCCAUAAUUCCAAUCUCCUUAGUGAAACAUAAAGACAAAUGAAGCUAAUUAUUAGAUGAAAAAGAAGAGAUUUUAAUAAGCUAUUUUAUUAUUGUUUCUUUGCAUUAUUAGUUGCUUGGUAUUCAGUGAUUUUCCUACUUAAAAGAAUUAAACUAAUAAAAAUCUUCCCAAUCUUGUACUAAUUAUUUUAAAGAAAGGAAGAAUGUGAAACAUUUUAAACAUUCUUUUAAAAAUAUAGAAUGCACUCCAAAUAAAAGUCUGCCUUUGUUAUUUUCUCCCAUCCCCAAAUUCAUGUUCCAAAUGU
rnacentral:lncRNA from 10 species